AGAGUUUGAUCAUGGCUCAGAAUGAACGGCGGCGUGGAUUAGGCAUGCAAUCGCACGGGUUCGGCCUUCGGGCCGGAUCAGUGGCGGAAGGGUGAGUAAGGCGACGGUAACCAACCCCAUGGUUGGGCAUAGCCGCGGGAAACUGCGGGUAAUUCCCAGCGACGUCCGUGUCGGGCAUCCGACGUGGACCAAAGUCCUGGCGCCGUGGGACGGGCCGUCGUGGUAUUAGGUCGUUGGCGGGGUAACGGCCCACCAAGCCUGUGAUGCCUACCGGGCGUGCGAGCGCGACCCGGCACACUGGGACUGAGACACUGCCCAGACUCCUACGGGAGGCUGCAGUCGAGAAUCUUCGGCAAUGGGCGCAAGCCUGACCGAGCGACGCCGCGUGGAGGACGAAGGCCUUCGGGUUGUAAACUCCUGUCGAGGGGGAGGAAGGUUGCGCAAGCAGCUUGACCGAUCCCUGGAGGAAGCACGGGCUAAGUUCGUGCCAGCAGCCGCGGUAAGACGAACCGUGCGAACGUUAUUCGGAAUCACUGGGCUUAAAGCGCGUGUAGGCGGAUGGGAACGUCGGUUGCUGAAAUCCCCCGGCUCAACCGGGGAACGGGCGCCGAAACGACCCGUCUGGAGGGACGUAGGGGGACCUGGAACUUCCGGUGGAGCGGUGAAAUGCGUUGAGAUCGGAAGGAACGCCCGUGGCGAAAGCGAGGUCCUGGACGUCUACUGACGCUGAGACGCGAAAGCUAGGGGAGCGAACGGGAUUAGAUACCCCCGUAGUCC
rnacentral:rRNA from 1 species